UACGUAUGGUGCGAGCGUUGUCCGGAAUUACUGGGCGUAAAGAGCUCGUAGGUGGUUUGUCGCGUUGUUCGUGAAAACUCACAUCUUAACUGUGGGCGUGCGGGCGAUACGGGCAGACUGGAGUACUGCAGGGGAGACUGGAAUUCCUGGUGUAGCGGUGGAAUGCGCAGAUAUCAGGAGGAACACCGGUGGCGAAGGCGGGUCUCUGGGCAGUAACUGACGCUGAGGAGCGAAAGCGUGGGGAGCGAACAGG
rnacentral:rRNA from 1 species